rnacentral:rRNA from 1 species
GACGAACGCUGGCGGCGUGCUUAACACAUGCAAGUCGAACGGAAAGGCCCUGCUUUUGUGGGGUGCUCGAGUGGCGAACGGGUGAGUAACACGUGAGUAACCUGCCCUUGACUUUGGGAUAACUUCAGGAAACUGGGGCUAAUACCGGAUAGGAGCUCCUGCUGCAUGGUGGGGGUUGGAAAGUUUCGGCGGUUGGGGAUGGACUCGCGGCUUAUCAGCUUGUUGGUGGGGUAGUGGCUUACCAAGGCUUUGACGGGUAGCCGGCCUGAGAGGGUGACCGGCCAGAUGGGGACAGGAGUGCGGACCGGACGCCUGCGGGAGGCAGCAGUGCGGUGUGUUGCACAAUGGGCUGAGGGCUGAUGACGCAUCGCCGCGGUCGGGAUGACGGCAUGCGGGUUGUAAACCGCUAUCGCCUGUGAAGAAGCGUGCGAGACGGAAAUGGAUAAAGAAGCACCGCCUACCUACAUG